UACGAAGGGGGCUAGCGUUGUUCGGAAUUACUGGGCGUAAAGCGCACGUAGGCGGAUCGAUCAGUCAGGGGUGAAAUCCCAGAGCUCAACUCUGGAACUGCCUUUGAUACUGUCGAUCUAGAGUAUGGAAGAGGUGAGUGGAAUUCCGAGUGUAGAGGUGAAAUUCGUAGAUAUUCGGAGGAACACCAGUGGCGAAGGCGGCUCACUGGUCCAUUACUGACGCUGAGGUGCGAAAGCGUGGGGAGCGAACAGG
rnacentral:rRNA from 1 species